AACGGACGCUGGCGGCAGGCCUAACACAUGCAAGUCGAGCGGACCUUUCGGGGUCAGCGGCGGACGGGUGAGUAACGCGUGGGAAUAUGCCCUUCUCUACGGAAUAGUCCUGGGAAACUGGGGGUAAUACCGUAUACGCCCUUUGGGGGAAAGAUUUAUCGGGGAAGGAUUAGCCCGCGUUGGAUUAGGUAGUUGGUGGGGUAAUGGCCUACCAAGCCGACGAUCCAUAGCUGGUUUGAGAGGAUGAUCAGCCACACUGGGACUGAGACACGGCCCAGACUCCUACGGGAGGCAGCAGUGGGGAAUCUUAGACAAUGGGGGCAACCCUGAUCUAGCCAUGCCGCGUGAGUGAUGAAGGCCUUAGGGUUGUAAAGCUCUUUCAGCUGGGAAGAUAAUGACGGUACCAGCAGAAGAAGCCCCGGCUAACUCCGUG
rnacentral:rRNA from 1 species